GACCGUAGAAACUAGCAUAGAAAA
rnacentral:miRNA from 2 species